GACGACCUAUCAAGAGCGGAUCGA
rnacentral:siRNA from 1 species